UGCAGUUUUUAAGAAGAAAAAGAAGGCCCUGAGUCAAAGAAGAUGCCUCGAACUAAACAAAUUCAUCCCAGAAAUCUAAGAGGGUCUUGCUCUUUUGCUCAGGCUGGAGUGCAGUGGUGUAGUUGUAGCUCACUGCAACCCCAAACUUCUGGGGACAAGCUAAGGCUUGUCCCCUUCCUGCUUUAGCGUCCCGAAUAGCUUGGACUACAGGCACAUGCCAGUGUGCCUAGCUACUUUUUUUUUUUGGCGGAGGGGAGGGGAGUUCCUCACUUUGUUGCCCAGACUGGUCUUGAACUCCCAGCCUCAAGUGAACCUCCUGUGUUGGCCCCCCAAAGCACUGAGAUUACAGGCAUGAGCCACCGCACCUAGUCUGUGGUUUUUCUUCUUCUUAUUUUUAAACAUCCUGUGCAGAAAAAAAUUAAGGAACCUGAUGUAUCUGUUAGACAUUAAUACCGUGCAAAUUCAGUAUGUUUUAGUGUUUUGAUCUAUUGAUAUCCUUUCUAUUGAAGGCAAGGAACAAUAGUUAUUCGGGGCUUUAUUAGAUUUUAUUUAAUGCUUUCAUAAAGAAGCACAGAUAUUACUAUUUAUCAACUGUAAUUUUUAAUAUUUGAGAACUAUAUUUUGGUGUAAUUGUUUUUUUAAUCCUGUGUAUUUUAUGCAUUUUAAAACAUUCUGAAAAGGGGUCCAUCAAUUUGGCUAAACUGCAGAGGCAUACAGGGUACACAGAAAAAGUUAAGAAUCAUCCUCUGGAUGGGCGCGGUGGCUCACGAUUGUAAUCCCAGCACUUUGGGAGGCUGAGGCAGGCAGAUCACGAGGUCAAGAGAUUGAGACCAUCCUGGCCAACAUGCCGAAACCCCGUCUGUACUAAAAAUACAAAAAUUAGCUGGGCAUGGUGGCAUGCACUUGUAGUCCCAGCUACUUGGGAGGCUGAGGCAGGAUAAUUGCUUGAAGCCAGGAGGCGGAGGUUGCAGUGAGCCAAGAUUGCGCCACUGCACUCCAGCCUGGGCGACAGGGCGAGACUCCAUCUCAACAACGACAACAACAACAACAACAACAAAGAACCAACAACAACAACAACAAAGAACCACCACCACCACCACCAACAACAACAACAAAGAAUCAUUCUCCAUUCCCCAAACCCUAAAGCCAGGAAGGGAGUAAGAUUAACUUUAGAAAUUAAUAAAUAGAGUUUUGGAUCUCUACUCUGCCUUUUAGGAGCUCUGUGGAUGGGACGUUUUACUUCUGACUGUCAUUCUCUGUGUUAUAAAAUGAGUAUAAUAUAUCUGUCACAGAUUUGUGAUGAGAGUUAAAAUGGACACUUUAUAUAAUAUACCUGGCAGAGUAACAGGCACAUAGAAUGAAUGUUGUUACCCCUUUGGUCCUUAGUCUUAUCAUGAACUAGCUAUGUCCUUAGCCAAAUUACUUACCACUUUUUGAUCUUUGUUACCUAUUUAUCUACACUGAAAGGAUUUAGAUUUGUAUAUUUCUACUUCAGCUAAAAAAAAUCUGUGAUUAUGUAAAAAACCAGGAUUACCUUUUUCAAAUUGGAAUGCUUGGUCAGCUAAGCUUUUAUUUUGUUGAUUAAAGACAUGCAUAUAUCAA
rnacentral:lncRNA from 1 species